rnacentral:piRNA from 1 species
UCCUAGACAGGGAUUAGCAGUGCAGAAU